rnacentral:lncRNA from 1 species
GAAUGCUGAAUCUGAGAGAGAAAUUAUAGAGUUUUUGAAUUCACUAAUCGCAGGGGGACUUGAUAUUUAUUCAGCAUUGUAAGUUACCUAAUGUCACCGUCAGGCCCGUCUCAGUUGUAGGUGAGGCCCUGUGCUGAAAAAAAAAUUUUAGGGCCUUCUUAAGAAGAAGAAAAAAAAUCUGGGCCCUUUUCUUUAAGAAAAAAAACAAUUUAAAACAUUUUCGGGCCUUAUUUUGGGCUAAAAAAUUUCAAAAUUGUAAUGGGCCCUGUGCAAAUGUGCUCCCAGCACAUGAGUGAUAACCAAAAAAACUAGGGCAUGACAUAAAUUGCCAAUUGAGGAGGAAUAACGAAGGAGACUUUGUGUCAUAUGACUGAGUCAUGGUCGUCUUACCUCAUAUCAUAAUU